rnacentral:rRNA from 1 species
CGACCGGCGCACGGGUGAGUAACACGUAUGGAACCUGCCCUAUGCAGGGGGAUAAGCGGAAGAAAUUCCGUCUAAUACCGCAUAACACCUUUAGGAGACAUCUUCUUGGAGUCAAAGGAGGCGACUCCGGCAUAGGAUGGCCAUGCGUCGCAUUAGCUAGUCGGCGGGGUAACGGCCCACCGAGGCGACGAUGCGUAGGGGUUCUGAGAGGAAGGUCCCCCACACUGGUACUGAGACACGGACCAGACUCCUACGGAAGGCAGCAG